CCCCGUGUAGCACAGUGGCAGUGCGUCAGUCUUGUAAACUGAAGGUCCCAGGUUCAAUCCCUGGUGCGGGCA